UUCGAUCUCUCUAAUUUGAUUUCCCUUUUCCUUUCUUCGUCGAUGGUUUCCCCUUUUGUGAUUGCGGGUUCUUUGAUCUCUUAUUCACAGCGGUUUUUGAAGAUCCGAGCCUUUCGUGAAUUGGUUCUUGGUAUGAAGAUCAAGGCGAUGGUCUGUGAUUCAAUCGGUGAUAUAGCUUUCGGUGUUUUUCGUUUUGUUGGUCCGAUUUUUUUAUGACAAAAUUAGUAAAUUAUCGGCGAGUUAUGUUUGAUUGUGGAUUCCUUGAUCUCUUAUUGAAAGUUAUUCUUGAUGAUCCGUCCCUUUUUAGAAUUGGUUUCUUUAUAUGAAGAUCAAGGCGAUGGUUUGUGAUUCUAGUCGUUGGUUUUUUUGUCGCCUUUACAAAUUGGAUUUUUGAUGAUUUUUGUUUGAAAAUCUCAUCAGAAAGAGAUUGCUUGAGCUCUUUUUGAAAAGGAUGCGACGAGGAGUUGGUCUCUUCUAUAAAAGGUUCCUUGAUCUCUUCUUGAAAAAGGUUGCGACGAGGAUCAGGUUUCUUCCGCAAAAGAUUAAAAAGGUUGCGACGAGGAUCAGGUUCCUUCCGCAAAAGAUAAAUUCUUCGGGGAUGAAGAUCCAGCGGAAAAGAUUAAUUCUUCGGGUAUGAAGAUCCAGAUCAUAAGAUUGUGAUUCCGUUUGGUGAUUUGUCAUCUGAGUUUUGGAUGACAACACGAGGGAAAGUUUGCUUAAUGCCAAGGAUCGUCAAAUAGAAGAAAUCGUGCAGGAUUGAUUAUCCAGCCCACAAUGAAAAUUUUGCUGCUGAAUCAUAUUGGAAGGUCGCGAGGAAGGGAAGAACAGAUGUAUAUUUAGAUUUGUUGCUUGUUUGGGUAGUUUUUAAGCGGAUCUAUUGUGUUCUUGGUGUAUAUUGAAACCGGUUUCAUCUCCAUCCAAGAAAAAGAUCAGCUGCAGUGAUAAAGGUGAUGUAUAAUUAUGUAAUAUGACCUUUGCCAUGAUGGGUGCGCUCGCAUGGCAGGUCGCUAAAUCCUUAAUAAAAUUUUCCUUUUUGUGGUUCUUGAGGGGGAGAUCGCACGGGGAUUUGAGUUUUUUAGUUCCCCCGGGUUCUCCCCUUCAUCUUGUGUGCUUCCUUGUGUGUGUGUGUGUGUCUCUGUCUCUCUGUGUGCGCGUGCUUACGCCUUCACCAAUGACAGCACUUCCACGAUUAUUACCGAUUACUACCUUCCAUCUCCGGCGCUUGGCAGGCCAUGCAUGUGAUCUGCCUCACCAUGUAUGUCUCCCAUCUUAAUCGCAGGUAAAAACUUCUACCCUGCAUCUACAGUGUUCGUUAUGAAUUUUUUUUACCAUCAUCACGUACUUACCAGAAUUAUGCAUCACAUCCCAGUCACAUUAGUUUAGUCCUGCUGCCUAAGGCUCACAAUCAAACUUUUGUUUGUUGCUGUCUAAUGAUCACAAUUGAACUUUUGUUUAUUGCCAUCUAACACUCACAAUCUCUUUGGUUUAUAAAGUAAUUUUUACUCUAAUUUGGUCUAUUUGAGUUCAUAUUGAAUGUUAAGUCAAGAAACAUUAUUUCAUCAAUUUGUUUUCUGGAGUUAAUGCCAAUUUCUUUGUACUUUUAUUUUAGUGUUUGUUGUACAUACAGAAAGGCAAAUUUAGUUAUCUUGUAUAAGAGAAGUUUGUAAAGUUUGUAGUUAUUAUAGAUUUUCUUGAAGUUCAGAAGCGCAAGCAUGCUAUAAGAGAAGGAUGUUUAGGAGGAGAACUUGCAUAUUGGUGAAGAGAGCUGGUUAUUGUUUGAAGAAUGCUUGGCAUGAAGAAUAUGGUUUAAAUGCCCUGAAUCACAGACUAGGACUUCAAAUUGGUUAAGAUCAGCGUCAAGAUUUACAUCUUUUUCACCUUUGUGGAAUUUGUCUUCGCAUUGAGAGUUUACUGGCUAGUCUUUUCAAAGUAGCUGAGGAUGGCAUGGUUCACCUGACCAUUUCUUUAUGGGCACUAACAAUUUUUUUAAGCAUCUUCCACUUUUUCUUCAAAGUAUGGCUAGCUGUGCAAAUGUAGACUUAUUUAAAAGGUUGCUUUGUUUUAGUAGUAGCAUUUAUAUUUUUGUCGUCUGGUGCACUAGUGUUGGUGCAUUCUACUGCAAAUUUGUUCGCAAGAUUUGCAAAUCUAACAUAUAUUAUGAUUACCAGGUUAUUACUGGGCAUCUAUAAGGAGUCAAAAGUGUUCGGACUAUGCAUUGGUUCCUAGAUAGUGUAGAUGUAGUUGAGCUUAGUCCUCUAUUUUUUAAGUGUUAUACAAGACCAUGUUUUCAUUUUCUCGUCUUUUUUUAAAAAAAAAUUAACUUGUGCUAGGUGCUUUGUUUUGGUAUUCAUUCUACCAAACUUUUCAAUGCUAUGAUAAAUGCAGUAUAUUUAAAUCUUAAUUAACUGUUGUAGUUUGCUAUAUUGCUCCUCUGUUAGGCUUUUUUAUAUGAAUGAGUUUUGUGCUUUUGGUCUCUUCAAUAGCUUCUCUGUUAAUCCAUUUAUUAUAUUUGUUCUCUUGACUUUGCAGAUGUUAUCAUGACUCAAUUCUUUAAGGGUUCACUCUGCUACAUGAUUCAUAUGUUAUUGUCAAUUGAUCUCAAGUUGGAUUGUGGUCACCCAAUAUCCAUUCCUCUUGCUGUUUUGGAAACGAGUUUUUUAUCUUCGUAAAGCUAAGUGAAACCGGUCUCAGAAGUUGCGGCAUAGACCGGUUAGGAAGGAGUUUCUUUUGGUUGCUCAUUUCAAGUGAGCUUUUCAAACAUAUGCUUGGGGGAAUUGGUUUAAAUUUCACAUUUUUCUGUUGGGGUAAGUUAAAAUAAGUUGGUUAUCAUUGUUUAUCAAGUGAAGGUUUCAAACUUUUAUCGCAAGUUCGAAUUUGGGGAUUUCCUAGUUAUACCCUGGUAAUCAUAAUAUAUUUUCGAUUUGUUGGAUCGUCCAAUUUUAGACUAAGUUUGAUUCCUUUCCAUGACAUGAAGAUGAGUUCUUGUUGUGGUACCUGAGCUGAUAACUAUAGUCUUAUCAUUAGCUUGUUGAUGCUGUUUGUUAGCCGGUUAGCCUUUUAUAUGCUGCAUGCAUUGUAUUUAGAUGUUCACUUUCUGGUGCUAAUACGGAGGCCAUUGCUUUAGCUGAUUUAAUUUGUUCUGGCAAUUGUUUGCUCUAGUCAUGAUGCACUCAACUUUAACUGAUUAGUCACCUUUUUUUCUUCAUUGGGCACAGUGAGAGUUCAGUAUGCAGGAUCUUAAGCUCAAAAUUGGCAGAGUGCUCUUGCAUUUGUGGUUUUAGCUUUGUUAAUUUACUCACAAAUGCUGGAGUGGGUGGUGGUUCGAAUCCAUCGAGAUCCAAUUCUUUUUUGUCAUAUUGGUCUUCAAGAAUAUUUUUUUUUGUUAUUUAUUUGAUAUUUUCUUGGGUUAUAUUGGUUGCUUUGUAUUACUGUUGAAUUUUAGUAAACAAAAAUUACUGAAGGCUUUUAGAAAGGAAAUUAAGAGAACAAUUUCGUAUU